UACGGAGGAUCCGAGCGUUAUCCGGAUUUAUUGGGUUUAAAGGGUGCGUAGGCGGCCUUUUAAGUCAGCGGUGAAAGUCUGUGGCUCAACCAUAGAAUUGCCGUUGAAACUGGGAGGCUUGAGUAUGUUUGAGGCAGGCGGGAUGCGUGGUGUAGCGGUGAAAUGCUUAGAUAUCACGCAGAACCCCGAUUGAGAAGGCAGCCUGCCAAGCCAUGACUGACGCUGAUGCACGAAAGCGUGGGGAUCAAACAGGAUUAGAUACCCUGGUAGUCCACGCAGUAAACGAUGAUCACUAGCUGUUUGCGAUACACAGUAAGCGGCACAGCGAAAGCGUUAAGUGAUCCACCUGGGGAGUACGCCGGCAACGGUGAAACUCAAAUGAAUUGACGG
rnacentral:rRNA from 1 species